rnacentral:rRNA from 1 species
UACAGAGGUCCCAAGCGUUGUUCGGAUUCACUGGGCGUAAAGGGUGCGUAGGCGGUCGGGUAAGUCUGAUGUGAAAUCUCACAGCUUAACUGUGAAACUGCAUUGGAUACUAUCCGGCUAGAGGAAUGGAGGGGAGACUGGAAUACUUGGUGUAGCAGUGAAAUGCGUAGAUAUCGGGAGGAACACCUGUGGCGAAAGCGGCGCACUGGACCAUAACUGACGCUGAGGCGCGAAAGCUAGGGGAGCAAACAGG